UACGAAGGGGGCUAGCGUUGUUCGGAUUUACUGGGCGUAAAGCGCACGUAGGCGGAUCGAUCAGUCAGGGGUGAAAUCCCAGAGCUCAACUCUGGAACUGCCUGUGAUACUGUCGAUCUGGAGUAUGGAAGAGGUGAGUGGAAUUCCGAGUGUAGAGGUGAAAUUCGUAGAUAUUCGGAGGAACACCAGUGGCGAAGGCGGCUCACUGGUCCAUUACUGACGCUGAGGUGCGAAAGCGUGGGGAGCAAACAGG
rnacentral:rRNA from 1 species